rnacentral:rRNA from 1 species
GAUGAACGCUGGCGGCGUGCUUAACACAUGCAAGUCGAACGAAGCACUUAUGAUUGAGAUUUCGGUUGAUUGACUAAGUGACUUAGUGGCGGACGGGUGAGUAACGCGUGGGUAACCUGCCUCGUACAGGGGGAUAACAGUUAGAAAUGACUGCUAAUACCGCAUAACCCGCUAGGGCCGCAUGGCCCGGACGGAAAAGAUUUAUCGCUCUGAGAUGGACUCGCGUCUGAUUAGCCAGUUGGCGGGGUAACGGCCCACCAAGGCGACGAUCAGUAGCCGGACUGAGAGGUUGACCGGCCACAUUGGGACUGAGAUACGGCCCAG